CAGCGCCUGCACCAUCUCCACCAGCACCCACUGCUCCGCCACUGUCGCCAUGGUCAGCCACCCGGCUUCCGGCAGGCAGGUCAUAGUGCGCGGCGCGGACUAGUGACGUCACAAAACCUUGAGGGCGGGGCCGGGAGUUGGGCAUCGGCUCCUCAAGCAUGUCAGUAGUUUCUAGACCAGGAAGGUGAAGACAGUUGAUCAUACAGAGAGACAGGAAGUGACAGAGUUGCGCAGGAAGAGGAAAUGAUGUAGCUGGGUGGAGAGAGGGAAUGAGAUGGCAGAACAGAAAGGCAUAUAGGUGUGGGUAUACAGGAAGAGUAGGUCCCUUUGGAGAAUGAGGUGUCAAUGAGGUACCAGGGAUGCACUUGUACACGGACAUACAUGCAAUACCCAUACACGUAAGAUAAAUUAGUGAUGAUGACAAUGACGAUGACGACGACAAUGAUGAUGAUAAAGUUUGUAUAUACGGUGGAUUACAUUUAUCAAUGUACACAUGGUGAACCAUUCUUGCAUUCUGGGAUAAAGUCUACUUGAUCAUGGUGGAUAAUCUUUUUGAAGUUUCUUGUAUUUGGUUUACAAAAGUAUUUUAUUGAGAAUUUUUGCAUCUAUGUUAAUAAGGGAAAUUGGUAUGUAUUUCUCUUUCUUUGUUGAGUCUUUAUGUGUGGUGAUAUUGUGUUCCCCAAAAUAUUGUGUACCCUAAUAAAUUUAUCUGGGGUUAGAGAACAGAACAGCCACUAGAUAUAGAGCCCAGAAAAUGGUGGCACACACGCCUUUAAUCCUAGCAUUCCAGAGGCAGAAAUCUGUCUGGAUCUCUGUGAGUUCAAGGCCACACUAGAAACAGCCAGGCAUGAUGACUCAUGCCUUUAAUCCCAGGAAGUGAACCUUUAAUCCCAGGAAGUGAUGGCAGAAAGCAGAAAGGUAUAUAAGGCAUGAGGACCAGGAACUAGAGCUGGUUAAGCUUUUAAGCUUUUGAGCAGCAGUUCAGCUGAGAUUCAUUCUGGAUAAGGACUCAGAGGCUUCCAGUCUGAGGAAACAAGACCAGCUAAUGGAUUGGCAAGGUGAGGUUAGCAGUGGCUUGUUCUGCUUCUCUGAUCUUUCAGAGUUCACCCCAAUACCUGGCUUCAGGUUUGAUUUUGUUAAUAAGAAGUUUUAAGAUUCGUGCUACAUCUAUGUGGUUUGGGUAUUAGGGUAACUGUGACCUCAUAAAAUGAAUCCAACAAUGUUCCUUCUGUUUCUAUUUUGUGCAAUAAUUUGAGGAGGAGUUUUGGCAUUAAUUCUUCUUUAAAAGUCUGAUAGAAUUCUGCACUAAAACCAUCUAAAGCCAUCUAGCCCUGUGGUUUUUUUGCUUGGGAGACUUUUAAUGACUGCUUCUAUUUCAUUAGGGUUUAUAGGUUUGUUUAAAUUGUUUAUCUGAUCUUGAUUUAACUUUGGUGGGUGGUAUAUAUCAAGAAAAUAAUCCAUUUCUCUUAGCUUUUUCAACUUAGUAGAUUAUAGGUUUUUAAAGUAUGUCCUUUUGAUUCUCUAUAUUUCCUUGGUGGUUAUUUUUUGCUAUGUCCCCUCUUCAUUUAUAAUUUUCUUAAUUUGGAUAUACUCUCUCUGUCUUUUAGUCAAUUUAGAUAAGGAUUUGUCAAUCUUACUGAUUUUUCUCAAAGAACCAACUCUUUUUUUUUUUAAUCAGUUCUUUGUACUGUUCUCUUUGCUUCCAGUUUAUUGAUUUCAGUCCUCAGUUUGACUAUUUCUUGAUGUCUACUUCUCUUGGGUGUGUUUCCUUCUUUUUGUUCUAGAGCUUCAAGCAGGCUGUUAAGUUGAUAGUAUGAUAUCUCUGCAUUUUUUAAUGUAGGCACUUAGUGCUAUGAACUUUCCUCUUAGUACCACUUUCAUUGUGUCCCAUAAGUUUCAGUAUGCUGUGUAUUCAUUUUUAUUGUUCUAGACAGUCUUUAAUUUCUUUCUUCAUUUCUAUCCUGACACACUUUUUAUUCAGUAGAGAGCUGUUCAGUUUCCAUGAGUUUGUAGGCUUUCUGUUAGAUAUCCAGCUAAUUUGUCAUGGUCUGAUAGGAUACAGGAAGUUAUUUCAAAUUUCUUGUAUCUGUUGAGACUUGAUUUGUGUCCAAGUAUGUGGUCAGUUUUUGAGAUAGCUCCAUGAGAUGCUGAGAAGGUACAUUGGUUUGGUUUAUGUGAAAUGUUCUGUAAACAUUUGUUAGGUCCAUUUGGUUUACAACCUAUUAGCAGUCUCUUAGCUCCAGUAUUUCUCUGUUUAGUUUUUGUCUGCAUGACUGGUCUGUGGAUAGAGUGGGGUAUUGAAGUCUCCCACUCUCAGUGUGUGUCAAUAUGUGAUUUAAGCUGUAGUAGUGUUUCUUUUAUAAAACAUGGUGCCCUUGUGUUUGAUGUAGAGACGUUAAGAAUUGAAAUGUCAUCCUGGUGGAUUUUCCCUUUGAUGAGUAUGUAGUUUCCUUCUCUAUCUCUUUUGAUUAAUUUUGGUUUGAAGUCUAUUUUGUUAGAUAUUAAAAUAGCCACACCAGCUUUCUUCUUAAGUCCAUUUGCUUGAAAUAUCUUCUUCCAACCUUUUACUCUGAGAUAAUGUGUACCCUUGAUGUUGAGGUGUGUUUCUUGUAUGCAUCAGAAGAAUAGAUCACGUUUUAGCAUCUAUUCUGUUAGUCUGUAUCUUUUUAUUGGGGAAUUGAGAUCAUUGGUAUUGAGAGAUAUCAAUGAGCAGUGUUUGUUGAUUCCCAUUUUUUAAAUUUUUGUGGUGUGGAGUUUUGUCCCUCCUCUUUUGAUUUGUUGCUCUGAGAUUAUUUAUUCCUUGUGUUUUCUUGGGUAGGGUUAACCUUUCAAAGUUGAAAAUUUCCUUCUAGUGCCUUCUGUAGAGCUAAAUUCUGAGGUUCCUAUUCGAGUUCCUAAACUUUUCAUUUUCAGUUUUUCUUCAGUUUGGGUUUUCUUUAUUGAUUCUAUUUCUACUUUCAUGUCUUGGACUGUUUUCUUCAUUUCAUUUCACAGUUUUGCGUUUUCAUUUAUUUCAUUAAUGGAUUCAUUCGUUUCCUCUGUAAGGACCUUGAACACAUUCAUUAUAGUUAUUUGAAGUCCUUGUCUUGUGUUUCAGCUGUAUUGCAUUUCUCAGGCCCUACCUUAGUAGAGUUGAUGGGCUCUAGUGGAGACAUAUUUUCUUCACUGUUAUUGUGUUUUUAUGUUGGCAUCUAGGUAUCUGUGUUCGGGAAAAUUGUAAUUCUAGGUGCCGAUACCCUUCUUGUCGUUGUUGGCUGGGUGUUCCAUCCCGUGGUUUCUGUUGCCCUCUCUGGUUCUUGGAGAGUUGUGCCUGAGGUUUGCCUGGUAUGCAAUGCUUCUGAGAUCCUGUCAGAUGUGGCCACUGGGGGUCCCUGGAUAGAUCUGACACUUAGGGAUGGAGAUGGGCUAGAGGCGCAGUGCAAAAGGAUCCAUAGGAGAGAGGAAAGCCAGGUUCCCCCCCUAGGAGCUGACACCAUGCAUUCCCAGCUGAAGGCUCCCAAGCAAUCGGCAUUCCUGUGUCUUCAUUGUCUAGGGCAUGGAGUCUGGGGGGCGGGGCAGGCCUUUCAUUGUCCAAGGAAUGGAGACAGGACCUAGAUAGAGACUGUCUCCACAUAGGACCACUCAUGGCGGCCCAUAACCUGGGCGCGAAAGUCCUAUAGUCUUAGGGAGACAGGAGCAAUGAGGCCAAGGGCCUCGACCUCAGGGUAUUGGUGCAUCAGCCCCACACAGGCCUCUACUCUGUUCUAGAGCCUCACUUGAAUGUCCAACAAUUAGCCCUUACCCAGCCCCCCUUCUGGCCACACCCACGCUUUGUGUCAGUCUCUCAGGAAAUGACCAAAAUGAGGCUUUAAGCUUAUAACUUGAUUGGCCUGUACCUUUAUCAGUUUUUUGGCUGAUAAAGUUUGUAUCACAUGGCCACCACACAAUCAACUGUAACCUGACUUACUGUGUAACCAGGAGUUUAAUAUUGCAGUAUAAAAUUAUCAAAGUAGCCAUUCAUCCAAACAAUCACAGCAAUGAUGCUUCAACCAAUCACAUGCUACCAGUGGAUCACAUGAUGCCUGGGACCUGUUGCCUGCAUCCAAUCAGGCAGUUUCAGAAUGGUUUGCAGCUCUUUGGCAGUUUAACUGCCGGGUCUGCAGUGCUGCCGCAGGGCCUUGUUCAUGUAAUUGUUGUGUGCUUUCCUGUAAGGAUCCUCACUCAGGCACAAGCAGAGAACCUGUCUGUGUCCUCCAAGGCUUUUGUGGGGAACUCAGAGGUGACUGGGUUGCUGGACCUUGAAUGGGAAGCUGAAUUGCCUGGCAAUAUAGAAGCCACAGCAUCUGGGACCACUGACCUCACGCUCAGAGUCACAUUGCUGAGUGUAGCCAGGCCUGAGAGCCUUGCAGCAUCUGGCAUUGGGAAGAUGGUGACAGCAGAGUUCAACACAAGGGAGGGGUGGAGGGGGCUGUGGGGACCAGAAAGUGGAGGAGGUUGCUAGGGGAGUGCAGGAGCAAUGCCCUGAAGGGGCAGGGAAAGCCAAAGGGUCCCUGCCAACUCAGGCUCUACACUGCCCCCUGUGGGCUCCUGGAAAGGUGCAGGCCUCCACAUUGCAGCUUAAAUAGACACCACAUCCAGGCUUCUGGCUCACCCUUUCCAUAGCGAGUAACAUUUGAUUACUCUCUGAUUCCACUGUCCAUGUCACCCUCUCUCUA